rnacentral:rRNA from 1 species
AUUGAACGCUGGUGGCAUGCCUUACACAUGCAAGUCGAACGGCAGCACGGGUGCCUGCACCUGGUGGCGAGUGGCGAACGGGUGAGUAAUACAUCGGAACGUACCUUAUCGUGGGGGAUAACGCAGCGAAAGUUGCGCUAAUACCGCAUACGCCCUGAGGGGGAAAGCGGGGGACCGUAAGGCCUCGCGCGAUUAGAGCGGCAGAUGUCCGAUUAGCUUGUUGGUGAGGUAAAAGUUCACCAAGGCGAUGAUCAGUAGCUGGUCUGAGAGGACGAUCAGCCACACUGGGACUGAGACACGGCCCAGACUCCUACGGGAGGCAGCAGUGGGGAAUUUUGGACAAUGGGCGAAAGCCUGAUCCAGCCAUGCCGCGUGCAGGAUGAAGGCCCUCGGGUUGUAAACUGCUUUUGUACGGAACGAAAAGGACUGCCCUAAUACGGUGGUCCCAUGACGGUACCGUAAGAAUAAGCACCGGCUAACUACGUGCCAGCAGCCGCAGUAA